rnacentral:rRNA from 1 species
GACAGCAGUAGCCGCGGUAAUACGUAGGUGGCAAGCGUUGUCCGGAAUUAUUGGGCGUAAAGGGCUCGCAGGCGGUUUCUUAAGUCUGAUGUGAAGGCCCCCGGCUCAACCGGGGAGGGUCAUUGGAAACUGGGAAACUUGAGUGCAGAAGAGGAGAGUGGAAUUCCACGUGUAGCGGUGAAAUGCGUAGAGAUGUGGAGGAACACCAGUGGCGAAGGCGACUCUCUGGUCUGUAACUGACGCUGAGGAGCGAAAGCGUGGGGAGCGAACAGGAUUAGAUACCCCAGUAGUCCCUGUCUCUUAUAC